UACGUAGGGGGCAAGCGUUGUCCGGAAUCAUUGGGCGUAAAGCGCUCGUAGGUGGAUCGGUAAGUCUGCAAAGAAAGACCCGGGCUCAACUCGGGGAACGGUGUGGAUACUACCGAUCUUGAGGCAAUCAGAGGAUGAUGGAAUUCCCGGUGUAGCGGUGAAAUGCGUAGACAUCGGGAGGAACACCAGUGGCGAAGGCGAUCAUCUGGGGUUGUUCUGACGCUGAGGAGCGAAAGCUAGGGGAGCAAACGGG
rnacentral:rRNA from 1 species